rnacentral:rRNA from 1 species
UAAUACGGGGAUGGCGAGCGUUACUCGGAUUUACUGGGUGUAAAGGGCAGGUAGGCGGCUUUGUAAGUUGUAGGUGAAAUCCUCUGACUCAAUCAGAGAACAGCCUUCAAAACUGCAUUGCUUGAGGACAGAAGAGGAAAGGGGAAUUCCCGGUGUAAGGGUGAAAUCUGUAGAUAUCGGGAGGAACACCAGUGGCGUAAGCGCCUUUCUGGUCUGUCUCUGACGCUGAGCUGCGAAAGCUAGGGUAGCAAACAGGAUUAGAUACCCUGGUAGUCCUAGCCGUAAACGAUGAGCACUAGGUGUCGGUGGUUACCACCGGCGCCGUAAGCUAACGUGUUAAGUGCUCCACCUGAAGACUACGACCGCAAGGUUAAAACUUAAAUGAAUUGACGG